UGGCGCAAUCGGUAGCGCGUAUGACUCUUAAUCAUAAGGUUAGGGGUUCGAGCCCCCN
rnacentral:tRNA from 1 species